AUGCGCGCAGUCGCGGAACCCGGAAGCGGGGGUGCAGCGCGGCAGAAUGAGGGUUGAUUCCUCGGCUGACCCCACAAUGUCGCAGGAGCAAGGGCCGGGGUCCUCCACGCCUCCCAGUUCUCCGACACUUCUUGACGCUCUUCUCCAGAACCUUUACGACUUUGGAGGUACAGAAGGUGAAACAGAACAGAAGAAGAUCAUAAAGAAAAGGGAAAACAAGAAGAGAGAUCUGGUGGCUUCAGCGGCCUUGGCAGCAGAGCCAUCUCCCCUACCUGGUUCUCUCAUAAGAGGCCAGAGGAAGAGUGCUUCGAGCUUCUUCAAGGAACUUAGAGAAGAGCGGCAUUGUGCUCCUGCUGGGACCCCCACAGGACUAGAGAUCCUUGCUGCUGCAGUUCCUCCCUCUUCCCUAAAGAACAAUAGGGAACAAGUAGAAGUGGUAGAAUUUCACAGCAGAAAUAAAAAAAGAAAAUUGACGCCAGAUCAUAACAAGAGCACAAAGGUAAUGAGUUGGUUAGCUUGUAUAUACGUGGUGAACCCCCUGGUAUUGUAGUAUUAGGUGAAUAGCUCUUUAGACUGUGGCAGGAAUGCCUGACUAUCCUCAGGCCUGCAGAUUUGCCAAAAGGACUCACAGGACCCAAGACUCAGCAUAUAGCCCUUAUCAGUCAUGUAGGCCUACAGACUGAGCUUAGUUAUUCAAGUUCUAAACCUCCAGUGAAAAGCAGGUAUUCAACAUCAAUCACAUUGCUAGUAUAAACUGUCUGGGAAAACUUGGUACAGCAGUGGCUCAAGACCUCAGGUAUGCAAAAACACUCUGAUCAGGCAGAAUAUUCUAAUUGCUCAAUUCUCAGGAGGCAGCCAACUGCCAGUCAUGAAAAUAGGACUUUCUUGGGAAUGUGCAGGGUUUGGUAAACACAGGUCUGCUGAGUUAACUCUUGCAGCAACUCUUUCUGGCAUUCCUGUUAUGUGCUAGCCACAGUUGUAGGCACUGGGAUAUAGCAGUGAACCAAAUGUAUAGAAAUUCUUGCUCUCGAGGAAAAGCAAUGCUGGUGGAAAAGCAAUUUGAUUUUUCUGAGCAGUAAUCUUUUUCAGAGUGAGCUUGUAAAUCUGACCUAAAAUUCAGUCCUCAAGGGAGGUGUGGUUGCUCCUCCAAAUGUUUUUAAUUUUUUUUUUUUUUUUUUUUUGAGACGGAGUCUCGUUCUGUUGCCCAGGCUGGAGUGCAGUGGCACGAUCUUAGCUCAUUGCAAGCUCCACCUCCCAGGUUCACGCCAUUCUUCUUCCUCAGCCUCCCAAGUAACUGGGACUACAGGUGCCUGCCACCACGCCUGGCUAGUUUUUUGUAUUUUUAGUAGAGUCAGGGUUUCACCAUGUUAGCCAGGAUGGUCUUGAUCUCCCGACCUCGUGAUCUGCCCGCCUUGGCCUCCCCAAAUGCUGGGACUACAGGCGUGAGCCACUGCGCCUGGCCCCAAAUGUUUUUAAUUUAUCUAUUCACAAGAAUAUCAUAAUGGCUUUGACAAAUUCAUUGCUAUUCCAUUUCUGUAACAUCCCCCAUGUCCUGCAAACCUUUGUCUAUCAACAAAGAAGUGAGGAUUGAACGUAUUAGUUUCUAAGCCCGCUAUAACAAAUUACCACAAACAUAGUGACUUAAACCAACAGAAAUGUAUUCUCUUACAGUUCCGUAGUCCAGAAGUCCAAAAUCAAAGUGUUGGCAGGGCCAUGCUCCCUCUGAGGGCUUUGGGGGAGAAUCCUUUGCCUCUGACCAGAAGGUAGCUCUAACAGUUUCCUUGGCUUGUGGUUGCAUAACUAUAAUCUCUGCCUCCGUCUUAAUGUGGUUUUCAUCGCUGUGUCCCUGAGUCUCAUGUUUCCCUCUGCCUUCCUCUUUGCUUUAGGCCCACCCUGAAUCUGGGAUGAUCUCCUUUUGAGAUGUUUAAUUACUAUAAAGAUCCCUCUCCAAGUAAGAUCACAUUCACAGGUUCUGAAGAGUAGGACAUGGCCAUAUGUUUUUAGAGGCCACAAUUCUACCCACUACAAAGAUGGUUUGGCUUGCAUUGUUCUUUAUGAAGGUAUAAAUGUAUGUUAGUGUCCAGUGUUUGCCACAUCUUUAUGGUUUUAAAAACCAUCUGUAUAAUCUUUUCUAAAAUUCAGGUAGCAUUUCAUGUCAAGCUUGCUUGCAUCUCUUCCUCAAAGAUCGUUAGCGCAUUCUGCAGGCUGAGCGUGGUGGCUCACGCCAGUAAUCCCAGCACUUUGGGAUGCCGAGGCCAGAGGAUUGCUUGAACUCAGGAAGUCGAGACUGCAGUGGGCUGUGAUUGUGUCACUGCACUCCAGCCUGGGUGACAGAGUGAGACCCCUUCUCCAAAAAAAAAAAAAAAAAAAAAGAUUAUUAGUGAAUCUGUAACCAUGUCUACCUUUAUUUUAGGAUUCUAGAUAAGCUUCUUAACUCUUAUGUUCCAAAUAUAAGGCUCUGGGAACUGUUAUGGGAGGGUCAAGAAAUGGAUUCCCCUGGUGUUUGGGGCAACCAGAGCCCCGAAGCUGGCCAUCUCCCAGUACCCCAGUGUACCCUACAAAUACUGGUAUUUUCUGUAUGUGUCAUGAUAUGAAAAACGUUGGAGAGCACUGCUUUGCAAUAUAAUUCAGCAUUUGAAGACUUCAACUAACAUAAAGCAUUUAGGCACCCUU
rnacentral:sRNA from 1 species